rnacentral:rRNA from 1 species
GACGAACGCUGGCGGCGUGCUUAACACAUGCAAGUCGAACGGAAAGGCCCUGCUUUUGUGGGGUGCUCGAGUGGCGAGCGGGUGAGUAACACGUGAGUAACCUGCCCUUGACUUUGGGAUAACUUCAGGAAACUGGGGCUAAUACCGGAUAGGAGCUCCUGCUGCAUGGUGGGGGUUGGAAAGUUUCGGCGGUUGGGGAUGGACUCGCGGCUUAUCAGCUUGUUGGUGGGGUAGUGGCUUACCAAGGCUUUGACGGGUAGCCGGCCUGAGAGGGUGACCGGCCACAUUGGGACUGAGAUACGGCCCAGACUCCUACGGGAGGCAGCAGUGGGGAAUAUUGCACAAUGGGCGGAAGCCUGAUGCAGCAACGCCGCGUGCGGGAUGACGGCCUUCGGGUUGUAAACCGCUUUCGCCUGGGACGAAGCGUGAGUGACGGUAAUGGGUAAAGAAGCACCGGCUAACUACGUG